rnacentral:tRNA from 1 species
GGGGUUGCGGCUCAGUGGUAGAGUGCUUGCCUAGCAUGCAUGAGGCACUGGGUUCUAUCCUCAGCACCACA